GACUCGUCACACUAUCAUUAACUGAAUCCAUAGGUUAAUGAGGCGAACCGGGGGAACUGAAACAUCUAAGUACCCCGAGGAAAAGAAAUCAACCGAGAUUCCCCCAGUAGCGGCGAGCGAACGGGGAGGAGCCCAGAGCCUGAAUCAGCAUGUGUGUUAGUGGAAGCGUCUGGAAAGGCGCGCGAUACAGGGUGACAGCCCCGUACACAAAAGCGCAUGUGCUGUGAGCUCGAUGAGUAGGGCGGGACACGUGGUAUCCUGUCUGAAUAUGGGGGGACCAUCCUCCAAGGCUAAAUACUCCUGACUGACCGAUAGUGAACCAGUACCGUGAGGGAAAGGCGAAAAGAACCCCGGCGAGGGGAGUGAAAAAGAACCUGAAACCGUGUACGUACAAGCAGUGGGAGCCCCACCACUAAGCCAGUGGUGAACUCCACAUACGCAUCCUUUGCUGAGGAUACGGUUAACGGAGCGAAAGCGACGUUCAACCGCAAAAGAAGCAGAGGGGGCUUAGUGGUGGGGUGACUGCGUACCUUUUGUAUAAUGGGUCAGCGACUUAUAUUCUGUAGCAAGGUUAACCGAAUAGGGGAGCCGGAGGGAAACCGAGUCUUAAUUGGGCGUUAAGUUGCAGGGUAUAGACCCGAAACCCGGUGAUCUAGCCAUGGGCAGGUUGAAGGUUGGGUAACACUAACUGGAGGACCGAACCGACUAAUGUUGAAAAAUUAGCGGAUGACCUGUGGCUGGGGGUGAAAGGCCAAUCAAACCGGGAGAUAGCUGGUUCUCCCCGAAAGCUAUUUAGGUAGCGCCUCGUGAAUUCAUCUCCGGGGGUAGAGCACUGUUUCGGCUAGGGGGCCAUCCCGGCUUACCAACCCGAUGCAAACUGCGAAUACCGGAGAAUGUUAUCACGGGAGACACACGGCGGGUGCUAACGUCCGUCGUGAAGAGGGAAACAACCCAGACCGCCAGCUAAGGUCCCAAAGUCAUGGUUAAGUGGGAAACGAUGUGGGAAGGCCCAGACAGCCAGGAUGUUGGCUUAGAAGCAGCCAUCAUUUAAAGAAAGCGUAAUAGCUCACUGGUCGAGUCGGCCUGCGCGGAAGAUGUAACGGGGCUAAACCAUGCACCGAAGCUGCGGCAGCGAACGUAUCACCCAAGACAACUUUACGGAGUUGACGAUUGACGGAGCGAAGCGACGUCAAAGCGUUCAUUAAAGUCGAGUUGGCUUAGGGAUACGUUCGUUGGGUAGGGGAGCGUUCUGUAAGCCUGUGAAGGUGUGUCGUGAGGCAUGCUGGAGGUAUCAGAAGUG
rnacentral:rRNA from 1 species